UGUCAUCAACUCGCAGAGGAACGGUCUGGAUGCAGUUUCAGCCAAGUAUUUCAGAGGAUUGAACCAAGCGCUUUAGAAACACUGUAGCAGAAUCACUAUUUCUGUCCGUACAGGAUUUGGCAACGCUUUUUUUUUUGUGAUCGUUCCGGCCGAAAAGGCUCGAUUUUGCUGCGGCUUGUUUCGAAAUUUGCCAUGCAAAUUUGCAUUUGCAUGAAAUUGUUGUGCACGGUCUUUCACCGCGAUGUUUGUUGGUAAAUGAGACCUUUUAGCUGUACUCGUGUUCAACACACACGAACCGAAGAGAGCUUUGGCUGAAUGCGCGUUGUGACGACGCCGCUUUACGCGUCUUGGCCUAAAUCUGCGGAAAAUCUGCGGCCAUUUUGAAAAAUUGCGAGCUCCCCCGAAUAUUGCGACUUCGCUCGAUUUCACGUUAAUUUCGGCGAUCGCAAAAAUCCCGAAGGGAACGAUAAGGGAAGCGAUAACGUGGCGGUACGGCAAAAACCGAAUGACAGACGUACGCGUUUAUUCUCCACUUCGAGCUCAAAAUGGAGGUCUGGUUUGUUCAGAGUCUGUAGCUCUAGUUUGUGCAAAACAAAUCAUGGCCACGUAGCCAAAACACAGCCAUGAACAAAUAACUAAUAGUUCAGUUAGCAAUAAAAGGUGACUAUGAUCUUCAGAGAUUCAUGUUAGGUGCUUAUUUGCUUCCUUCGUGUGAGUAAUUUAUACGGAACUGGACCUUAUACAAAUUUCCGUUGAAUGCCCAUGCUCUAUAAAAUUCUAUCAUUUAUUUACACGAGGGUGGGCCAAAGGAAAAGCUUAAAAGUGUGACAAACUAGAACUGGAUCAAAAUCUAAUUUCUAGAGAAGUCCAGACACUUACAGUACAGUGGGGGAAAUAAUUAUUGCACCUGUCAACAUUCCCCCCCUCACCCACAGUAAAUAUAUAACAAUAAUGUCAGUGUUCAUGGGAGCAACUUCAGCCAGAGUAAUAAUAGCACUGCGGGGAGAGAAUCGGCCAGGGCUUGGAAGUGCGUGGCUGAUGGCAAAACAAGAGAGAGCAAGAGUCCCUUCAUGGUCCUGAGAGCCUGGCCUGUGGAGGCCAUUAAGGACGACGUGACUGAGCUGAGAGACUCUACGGGUGGCUUCGAACAACUGAUUUCAGUGUAUAAGCACCAUGAUGGAAAUGAUACCAGACGAUAAAAACAAAGACAUAGUAUUUGGUUCUCCUCUCUUGUGUGACAGCACUACCGAUCUGAGAGCUGGAAAAUUCUAGUCCAUGCAUGCAAUCUUCCUUCAUUCCUCUUUCACCUAGUGGACACAUGACACUAUUGAGAAGCUCAACAUGCCAGAAAGGAUCACCGGGUUUCCGCGCUGCCAUGUGACCGAACAGACACCUGACUGGCUGCCAUGUCCCUUUAGCUGCUUUCCAUCUGAUCUCUAAUACACUGGCAUGUUUCGUUACUUGGAAUUUACCCCGUAUUCACAUUUUCAUCUGCAGACACUUUUUCACGGUGGCACAAUUUACAACUCCAUUAAUCCUACGAUGAAAUACAGGUGUUUAUACGACGAAAAGGAAGAUAUGACCCGUGUCUGUGGCAGCCCGUGCAGGCUUAUUACAUUUACAUCUGCUCAUUUGGCAGACACAUUUAUUCAAAGCAACUGAGCAGUUCAGAGAUAAGGGACUCGUUUAUUAAAGGCUCCGGCGUUUGAACUCACAACCUAUGAUCCUUCGCUUGGAACCUCAGCACUAAUUAUUUCUUCCAGUUAAAUGAGCUGAGAUUCCCAUGUGCAGUUUGCCACAGAUUCCCCGUCCAGGAUUGCAGGGACGUCAAACUCCCGUGUUUUUAUCUGGAGAUGGUCCUUCCCCCCUACUGAAGCUCUCAUACUAGUCAAAUAAACCAAACCGUAAUGUACGAUAGUGGCAAGACUGCUAAAUGUACUCGGUUUGAAAGCAUCGUUACUGACAGCAGAUAAAGAAAUGCCGCUCACAUGUGCUACAAAUAUAGUUUUAAUGUGAAGUAAGGCUCCAAUCCACGUCAAAUUGGAUAUAGGGCUGCAACUAACGAUUCGUUUGAUAAGCGAUUAACCUGGCGAUUAUUUCUUCGAUUAAAUCGAUUCGUUGGAUUGAAAACGCCGGUGUAGAACGUUUUAAAAUGAAAAUGCGGUUUUCAGACCGUGGACGUCGGAUAAGGAAGAGGACACGACAGGACGCGCUAUUAAAGGAAAGUGACUGUCCAAAAUUGUUUUUUUUCAUCAGUCUUACUCAAAACCAAUUAGGUUACAUUUGUGCAAGCUUGUGCGAAGUCUGAGAGACAAGUUCGUUCCUGUUAUCACUUACAAUAUUUAGAAGAAAAAGAAGAAGGGAAAAAAAAAAAAAAAACAUACAAAACAAACACCACAGUUUGUCAUGUUACCAAAGCUACAGGAUUUCUGUUUUGGAGUGCACUAGACUGCGUGUACAAGCUUUUGCCCACAGCCAAGAGCUUCUGAAGAGCCAAGAGUGUCUGAAGUGUGAGAAAUCAGUGUGAAUACCGCAGUUGUGUCUCUUCAUCUCUAAAACACAUACGCACACAAAACAGGAAGCGCAUCCCCAAGAGAGAAAAUAAGAAUCCAUCACAAAAUUGACCAAACUGAUUCCGUGAGAAAUUGCGCUUCACUGGAAAUCAUGGUCCUCUGCUAUUCCGACGCUUCCUGUAGCAGACCCGCAUCGCUGUCGUUAAUCUGAGCUGCCGGAAUGAGUCUCACUCAGCCGUGACAAUUUGCAACACGCUGAAACGAGCACGUAAGACAAAACAAUUAGCAGUUCACUCCGCUGCCUUAGGAAAAAGGCAUAACGAUCGGCUAUUAGAGGUCGGCUUCAGAUGGCAAGGUAGGCCAUGACCUCACAUAAAUCUCCAUUUUUGAAAGCAGGAGAGUGACUUUCGGAGGAAUCCCCACUUACAAUAAAAACACAGCAGACCUGUUUUGGGUGGAAAUCCUUUCUUCGCAGAAGAACCCAGACAAAACUUUUUCCGCAAAAGGAGAACAUCGAAGACGAACGAGCCGGAAAAUUACUGAUGCAACAAAAUGUAAAUUCAAGGCAAACAAUUCAAUUAAAGAUGCAAAAACUGAAGCUUUUAUAUAAAUUAUAUUCAUUUAGCUUGCUUCUUGUUUAUGCCCUUGGAUGAAACUAUAAGGUAAUGAAUAUUUAAAAACAAAACAAAACAAAACAAAAAAAAACACGCACAUUCAUAGCUAGCGGCAUACAUUACUCAAGCAGCACCAAAAUUUAACUCGGACAAAUUGUCUUUUUUUUUCCAUUUUAGGGUCAUUCAAUUUGGGGGAUUUUGGAGUAUUUUGGAAAAUACGCACGGUGGCUUAGCACGUUCGCCUCACACCUCCAGGGUCGGGGGUUCGAUUCCCACCGUGGCCCUGUGAGUGGAGUUUGCAUGCGCUCCCCGUUUCCUCCGGGUACUCCGGUUUCGUAGUGUAUGAAUGGGUGUGUGAGUGUGUGUGUGAUUGUGCCCUGCGAUGGAUUGGCACCCUGUCCAGGGUGUACCCCUCCUUGUGCCCCAUGCUCUCUGGGAUAGGCUCCAGGUUUCCCCGUGAUCCUGAAUGAAGGAUAAGCUGUAUAGAAGAUGGAUGCUGAUUUGAGUAGGAAAGAAGAAAACUUACCCACCAUUUCCAAAUGUUAGAUCGAGCCGAUUGAUAUUGGGAGUAUUUAAGUGUUACUUAAAUGCUGUAUUUUUUGUAUUUAAUAAAUGUUAAUGUCAAUUUAAUAGAUUGUCCGUUUUGGUUAUUUUAAGCUGGAAAGAGUAUCGCUAAUAGUAAAAAAAAAAAAAAUUAUUAAUUAAAAAAAAAAAAAAACCCUACUACUACUUUAGCGCCUUCUUUUUUGUCAGGAGGCAAAAAGUGGGUUCAACAAAAGGAAUCAACUGUGAUCAACACAGAUUUGCCUGGUUUUCAGACAGGCCACUUUAAUUGCAAUGUCAACACAGUGCCAGCAUAGAGAAUCAAUGUGCUACGCCAGCUUUCACUGAGAGAUUGAUGCCGCUUUCACGGCUAUAGGGCACGCUGACUGAGGCUCCAAUCAAUGGCGGGACGCAGAACAAACCAGCAUGCCAGUGAAGCAUGGAAUUACUCUCUGGCUGAUGCCAGUCUUGUGGCACGUCACCAAAACCGAGACGAGAUUCGACCCUGCUUUGCAGGCGGUAAUGCAAACCGAUAGUAGAUAGACAUCGCAGAACAGAACAUCAUUCAACGAGAGUGCAUGAUACAAAGUAGAACUCUUUUACUUGGACCAGUUAUCAAAUUUUGGAAUGGCUGACUGCCAUAAUUAGUGAUCUCAUGCAAAAUAAUGAGCCAUUAAAACACAAGGCCAGCAAACUAAGCCAAAUUACACACAAACACAACAACAGCUGAUAAUACAGAAGCACCAAGUUAAUGAGAUCCAUAAUUUAACUUUUAACAACAUGUACUGGACCAUAAAAUGGUGAUCUAUAAACACAGCUUACUUUGGUGGCUUCUUUUUUUCCCCCCACACACAUCUGCUCCUCGUAUUGUAUUACCUGACUGACCAUAUAAAAUACUUUCUGCUCAGACAACAAUGAAUCAGUGUGUUGUACAAGGAUGCCAUAGAAACAUGUACUACUCACUGUGAAAAGGAAUGCUGAAGUUUCAUUUAAUGAGUGUAUUAGCCAGGAAGGUCUAAAUGUGAUCAUAGUUAACAUUAAGCUAUGACACAUCGUGCAGGUGAAUUUCUCUAAAUUGGUGCAAGCCGAAGAGGUAAAGGCAAGAAACGAGUAAUUCAUCCAUUCAUUCAAUUAUCUUGAGUAAUCCCUUUAUCCUGGUCGGUGUCAUGGUGGAUCCAGGGCCAACCCCAGGAACAGUGGAUGUGACGUGAGAAUACACCCAGAAUGGGAUGCCAGUCCAAUAGACAAUCCAUCUACUGUGGAAGGUUGGAGGAAACCAAACAGGGUACUCAUAUGAAAUCCACGCAGACUCAAGAAUAACAUAUGAAACUUCAGAUAAGACAGCAACCCAAGCUCAGGAUCAAACCCUGGUGCUGUGAAGAAGCAAUGCAAACCUCUGCACCACUACAUCCUUCUGAAUACUAAUCAUGCUGCUGACGAAUCAUGUGUUAAACAUUCAUUUAAGCUUUGCAUCAUUCCCAACACGUCUUUUUUAAAGUCCCUGUGAAGUGCCUUGAAACACGCAGCGUUAUUCAAUGUCUUGUCAAAGUAAUUUCCACCGAAACAGGAAGUUAGGGUGGGACAUAGAGUGGCUCCUCCCCCUUUUUAAAUAGCCAAUAGCAUUUAGCUUACCUCACAGCCCGGGGCUAAGCCACAGUUAGUACCAUGGCACGAGUCUGAGCAAUGACGAUGCGUUGGAGUCGACGAGGUGAUUUUUAUAAUGGUGGGGGCGGGACGCUUCAGAAUCUAGAGAGCAUUUGAUUGGACAGAAAAUCUGAUGAGAAGCUGAAGUGUAGAAUGAUGUCGUCAAAAUUGUUGAUCUGUAUCGGUGGUAGAGACAUUUUGAAGGAGCAUAUCUUCUAAAUGCCAAUUUUGUCAUUGUUUUGCAGCACAUUAGCUUAUAGAUAACCUUAAGGCGAACAUAUUCAUACUAAAAGCCUCAAAACUUCCAUUUUGAUUUCAUGGGGACUUUAAGGAAACCUAAUCGUUAAAAAUGUGCCAUAUGUGAAUGCAUGAAAAUAGCUCACAUUAUCCUUUAGGAAAACGAUGCAAUGGGGAAAUUAGGGAAACGACA